GCAGCAGCAAGCGGCCCUGAUGGCAUCAGUCGCGCAGGGCGGCUACCUGAACCCCAUGGCUGCCUUCGCUGCCGCCCAGAUGCAGCAGAUGGCGGCCCUCAACAUGAAUGGCCUGGCGGCCGCACCUAUGACCCCAACCUCAGGUGGCAGCACCCCUCCGGGCAUCACUGCACCAGCCGUGCCUAGCAUCCCAUCCCCCAUUGGGGUGAAUGGCUUCACCGGCCUCCCCCCACAGGCCAAUGGGCAACCUGCUGCGGAAGCUGUGUUCGCCAAUGGCAUCCACCCCUACCCAGCGCAGAGCCCCACCGCCGCGGACCCCCUGCAGCAGGCCUACGCCGGAGUGCAGCAGUAUGCAGGUCGUUAGUAUCCACGCGUCCCCACGGCUCCUUCCCCAACUCCGUUUAUCUCUCCACACCUGUGACACCAGUGCCCCCUCAGACCUGGGGCCAGCACUGCAUGGGGUGGGGAGAGAGAGUGGAAAGAGGGGGGGCCGUGCUGGCAGAGACCCUCCAGGCUGCCUUCUUGUCAGCGGGCCACCGAGAGUGCCCCUUCAGUGGGGUUGGGCAGAACUUCAGGCAAGUGGGCAGGCCAGGUGGAAGUUUCACCCUUGCUGGGCAGUUACCUGUCUUUGAGGCCAGAUUUCCCUUCCCCAAGGAGCUUCCAGGGCCACUUUGC
rnacentral:sRNA from 1 species